rnacentral:rRNA from 1 species
GAGAGUUAAACAGUACGUGAAAUUGUUGAAAGGGAAACGAUUGAAGCCAGUCGUACCAGCGGAUAAUCAGCCUUUAGAUGCGAUUUUGUGGAGCGUGAAGAGCUAAUCGCCUUCAUGCCUGUAUAUUCGUGUACUUGGGGUGUACUUAUUCGUGUGGUAAGUUAACAUCAAUUUUGGUUGUCAUAAAAUGAUUAGAGGAAUGUAGCUUCGAUCUCGUAUUGAAGUGUUAUAGCCUUUGGUAGAUGUGACGAUCGGGAUUGAGGAUUGCAACGGAUACCCUUCGGGGCUACCUGUCUGAUCUCUGAUUGUUGCUUUGGUGCUGAAAGCUUGCUUAUGGUUAUCAAAGUCGAUGGUCAAUAGGUUAGAAUGGGUUAAAUUCGUUAAGGAUGUUGACGUAAUGGCUUUAAACGA